UACCUGCAGCUCGAGUGGUAACCGCUAUUAUUGGGCCUAAAGCGUCCGUAGCCGGUUUGGUAAAUAUCUGGGUAAAUCGUGAGGCUUAACUUCACGAAUUUCGGAUAGACUGCCAGACUUGGGAUCGGGGGAGGUCAGAGGUACUCCAGGGGUAGCGGUGAAAUGUUGUAAUCCUUGGAGGACCACCGGUAGCGAAGGCGUCUGACUAGAACGAGUCCGACGGUGAGGGACGAAGCCCUGGGGCGCAAACCGGAUUAGAUACCCGGGUAGUCCAGGGUGUAAACAAUGUGGGCUUUGUAUUGGAGAUCCCACGUGGGUGUCCAGUGCAGAAGAGAAGUUGUUAAGCCCACCGCCUGGGCAGUACGGUCGCAAGGCUGAAACUUAAAGGAAUUGGCGGGGGAGCACAGCAACGGGAGGAGCGUGCGGUUU
rnacentral:rRNA from 1 species